UAAAAAAUAACGCGCGGAUCAACCGUAUAGACGGCUUUCAUUGUGCGUGCGAACAGAGAAACAGUGCAGUUUUUUUGUGGUGUAUUUUUUUUCUUUUUAGAAAAGACAGUGUUUUGUUUCGGGUGAGGUACUCCGGAGUCGUGAUACAAGAACUUAGCAAAUUAAAAGUUUCCUAGCAAAGUGAAGUGUGUUCGAAGUUCCAUUAGCUGUUAUGAGAUCUCAAACAAGCUCUUAGAAAGAUAAAUUCAGUGCGUGUGCCCGUCAACCAUGCAGCAAUCCUCAACUCUAUGGUCGGAGCAGUUAUCUCACUCGCUACGAAUACAACCGGACACGUACCUAAACAGUUGAACCAACCAUGAUUAAGUAGCAUAAGACUGUUCUAAAAAUGAGCUUAUAAUUUAGGUAGAUGUCGGGAGAAAGGGAGAGGAUGCCUUACUACGGGU